AGCUUAAUAAAGGCAGGCCCGUGUUGGAGAGGAUCCCUGGGGGGAAAGAGACAAGCAUAGGUCCCUCCCAAGAUGCCACCCGCUUCAUACAAGUGUCUGGCAGCACUGUGUUCCUGUUAGAGCCACCAGCACAAGCACCAGACGAUGCUGAUCCAGUGAAUUCUCUGGUGUGUUGCUGGGAGACAG